AAAAAAAAAAAAAAAAAAAAAAAAAAAAAUCCGUCACAGUCUUGCUGUCUCUGUUCUUCCGCGCACACAAAAAAAAAGAGAGGAGGAAGCCUUGUUUUGACUUUUUCAGCCAUGCGAAGCUUUUAAGAAAAAUAGAGAUAUAUUAAUCAAGGAGUUCCAAGUGAUUUCGAGGAGGCGUCGUGAUUGUAUUCCGAUAGUCUUUCGGAUUUGUAGACUCGGGAUUAGGUGGAAUUGAGGAUUGUCAAAUUCUUAGAACGAAGCAAAGAAUAAUUCGAGAUUGUUAUUGUCUUCUAGGCGAAGGUUAAAUAAAGUCUUUAAUGUUUAGAUGAUGAAUUGAGAGUUUGUAAUAAUGAGAUUCUUUCUUUAGGUUGAGAUUUAUUUGGAGUUGAGGAAUAUUUAUUUUUUAUCAAGUUAAUCGGCUUAGUUGAGUUUUGGGAUUAUAGAGAAUAUUUGUUGUUGGUUUUAGUUCAAUGAAGAGAUUUGUUCUAGUGUUCUUUUAAUGAAUGUAUAUUUUGGAGGACUUUUCACAGGUUUA